rnacentral:rRNA from 1 species
UACGAGGGUGGCGAGCGUUACUCGGAAUUACUAGGCGUAAAGCGUAUGUAGGUGGUUAGAUAGGUCUAUGGUGAAAUUUCCUGGCUCAACUGGGAAGGGAACAUAGAUACUGUCUGGCUUGAGUGUGUGAGGGGGAGACGGAAUUCCUGGUGUAGCGGUGAAAUGCGUAGAUAUCAGGAGGAACACCGAUGGCGAAAGCAGUCUCCUGGCACAAAACUGACACUGAGGUACGAAAGCUAGGGUAGCAAAC